rnacentral:sRNA from 1 species
CUUGGUCAUUUAGAGGAAGUAAAAGUCGUAACAAGGUCUCCGUUGGUGAACCAGCGGAGGGAUCAUUACCGAGUACUACACUCAUAACCCUUUGUGAACCAUUAUACCUGUUGCUUCGGCGGCGUCCCUCGCGGGCGCCCGCCGGUCUCAUCAGAAUCUCUGUUUUCGAACCCGGCGAUACAUCUGAGUGUUCUAAGCGAACUGUUAAAACUUUCAACAACGGAUCUCUUGGCUCCAGCAUCGAUGAAGAACGCAGCGAAACGCGAUAUGUAAUGUGAAUUGCAGAAUUCAGUGAAUCAUCGAAUCUUUGAACGCACAUGGCGCCUUCCAGUAUCCUGGGAGGCAUGCCUGUCCGAGCGUCGUUUCAACCCUCGAGCCCUCGUGGCCCGGCGUUGGGGAUCUGCCACGGCAGGCCCCGAAAUACAGUGGCGGACCCGUUAGGCCCUUCCUUUGCGUAGUAGCAUUAGCCUCGCAUCGGGAGCCGGCGGGCUCUCCUGCCUCUAAACCCCCCAACAAGCCCGCUCCGGCGGCACCAAGGUUGACCUCGGAUCAGGUAGGAAUACCCGCUGAACUUAAGCAUAUCAAUAAGCGGAGGAAAAGAAACCAACAGGGAUUGCCUCAGUAACGGCGAGUGAAGCGGCAACAGCUCAAAUUUGAAAUCUGGCUCCUUCGGGGCCCGAGUUGUAAUUUGCAGAGGAUGCGUCGGGUACGGGUGCCUUCCGAGUUCCCUGGAACGGGACGCCAUAGAGGGUGAGAGCCCCGUCUGGUAGGACACCCAGCCCAUGUGAUGCUCCCUCGACGAGUCGAGUUGUUUGGGAAU